rnacentral:rRNA from 1 species
CCUACGGGAGGCAGCAGUGGGGAAUCUUGGGCAAUGGGCGCAAGCCUGACCCAGCAACGCCGCGUGAGGGAAGAAGGCUUUCGGGUUGUAAACUUCUUUUUACAGGGAAGAGCAUAAGUGUGUAUCUGUCUCCUCAUCUUGGGCUAACUACGUGCAACCAUCCGCGGUAAUACGUAGGUGGCAGGCGUUGUCCGGAAUUGCUGGGUGUAAAGGGCGGGUAGCCGGGGUGAUAAGUCAGAUGUGAAAGCCGGGGGCUCAACCCCGGAACUGCAGUUGAAACUGUUGGUCUUGAGUGUAGGAGAGGCAGGCGGAAUUCCUAGUGUAGCGGUGAAAUGCGUAGAGAUUAGGAGGAACACCAGUGGCGAAGGCGGCCUGCUGGACGACAACUGACGGUGAGGCGCGAAAGCGUGGGGAGCAAACAGGAUUAGAUACCCUGGUAGUC